GAUGAAGAACGCAGCGAAAUGCGAUAAGUAAUGUGAAUUGCAGAAUUCAGUGAAUCAUCGAAUCUUUGAACGCACAUUGCGCCCCCUGGUAUUCCGGGGGGCAUGCCUGUUCGAGCGUCAUUUCACCACUCAAGCCUCGCUUGGUAUUGGGCAACGCGGUCCGCCGCGUGCCUCAAAUCGACCGGCUGGGUCUUCUGUCCCCUAAGCGUUGUGGAAACUAUUCGCUCAAGGGUGUUCGGGAGGCUACGCCGUAAAACAACCCCAUUUCUAAGGUUGACCUCGGAUCAGGUAGGGAUACCCGCUGAACUUAAGCAUAUCAAUAAGCGGAGGA
rnacentral:misc_RNA from 1 species